UCUCACUGUUUUCUGCAUUUCUAAAUCUAAAUUUGAAGCUAAGCAGGGUUGAGUCUGGCCAGUACCUGGAUGGGAGACCUCCUGCGGAAAACAAAG
rnacentral:rRNA from 1 species